AUUGAACGCUGGCGGCAUGCCUUACACAUGCAAGUCGAACGGUAACGCGGGGCAACCUGGCGACGAGUGGCGAACGGGUGAGUAAUGCAUCGGAACGUGCCCAGUAGUGGGGGAUAGCCCGGCGAAAGCCGGAUUAAUACCGCAUACGACCUACGGGUGAAAGCGGGGGACUCGCAAGGGCCUCGCGCUAUUGGAGCGGCCGAUGUCAGAUUAGCUAGUUGGUGGGGUAAAGGCCUACCAAGGCGACGAUCUGUAGCUGGUCUGAGAGGACGACCAGCCACACUGGGACUGAGAAACGGCCCAGACUCCUACGGGAGGCAGCAGUGGGGAAUUUUGGACAAUGGGCGCAAGCCUGAUCCAGCCAUGCCGCGUGCGGGAAGAAGGCCUUCGGGUUGUAAACCGCUUUUGUCAGGGAAGAAACGCUCUGGGUUAAUACCUCGGGGUAAUGACGGUACCUGGAGAAUAAGCACCGGCUAACUACGUGCCAGCAGCCGCAGUAACAC
rnacentral:rRNA from 1 species